GAUCAUUGCUCAGGAUGAACGCUAGCGACAGGCUUAACACAUGCAAGUCGAGGGGCAUCAUGAGGUAGCAAUGCCUUGAUGGCGACCGGCGCACGGGUGAGUAACGCGUAUGCAACCUGCCCGAUACCGGGGUAUAGCCCAUGGAAACGUGGAUUAACACCCCAUAGUACUUUUAUCCUGCAUGGGAUGGGAGUUAAAUGUUCAAGGUAUCGGAUGGGCAUGCGUCCUA
rnacentral:rRNA from 1 species